rnacentral:rRNA from 1 species
UACGUAGGGGGCAAGCGUUGUCCGGAAUCAUUGGGCGUAAAGCGCGUGUAGGCGGUCCGGUAAGUCGGUUGUGAAAGUCCAGGGCUCAACCCUGGGAUGCCGAUCGAUACUGCCGGACUAGAGUCCGGAAGAGGCGAGUGGAAUUCCCGGUGUAGCGGUGAAAUGCGCAGAUAUCGGGAGGAACACCAAUGGCGAAGGCAGCUCGCUGGGACGGUACUGACGCUGAGGAGCGAAAGCCAGGGGAGCAAACGGG